rnacentral:rRNA from 1 species
UACGUAGGGACCAAGCGUUGUUCGGAUUUACUGGGCGUAAAGCGCGCGUAGGCGGCCCGGUAAGUCCGCUCUGAAAGUCCAGGGCUCAACCCUGGAAAGCGGGUGGAUACUGCCGGGCUAGAAUCCGGAAGAGGCGAGUGGAAUUCCUGGUGUAGCGGUGGAAUGCGUAGAUAUCGGAAGGAACACCAAUGGCGAAGGCAGCCGCCUGGGCCUGAUCUGACACUGAGACACGAAAGCGUGGGGAUCAAACAGG